CUCAAUGACAGAUCACAGGCCUCCAUCCUGAAGACUGCAGCUGACUCCAGUUGAGGCGGUGGAUAGGGAGCACUUUCAGAAGGCAGAUGUCUCCAUAUGUUGCAGCUCUGCAAUAAAGAGAUGAUCCAACCUUCUGAAGCAUCCUUUUUACUGCAAGAGAAACUGCUUUGUGCCUUCAAGUAGCUGUAUCCUCCAGGGCCCAUUAUGUCGGGGUCCUCUAGUCUUCCUCCGAGAGGCCUCAUUCUUCGUGGUCCCCUGAAGAAAGCAUGUCGUCGAGCACCGAGAGCACUGAGCUGCUUCAUUCUACGUUCUUUAGACCGCCGGUUUUGAAACCACACCUAUAAGGCAAAGCCACAAUUAUACACGGUUUAACCGCCAUACUAAGACAGGACAGGAUCAAGACCAGAUGCAGGAGGGGGAAGAUCAGCGCCGAUGAGCUCAGAGUGUGGGAAAGCACAUCAGCCAACAUCAGUAUAAAGAGAACAACAUGCUGGACAAAAAGAGAUAUUUGCACCUGGCCUGUGUCUGUGGUCAGAGGUUCAUCACCUUUGGGUUGAAAGAAAAGGGAUAACAAACUCUCCUCAUCAGAUCAGCACCACUUCAUCAGUUCAUCAUAAUAAAAGCUCAAUGAGAGGC
rnacentral:lncRNA from 1 species